CUAAAACCUCAGGAAAAGAUGUUCUUUAAGAGCCCUGUGGAGACAGCUCUGAAGUAUUUUAGUCACAUCUCUCAGGUUUGGAGUUUCCAGAAAAAACAGACAGAUCUGCUUAUCACCUUUUAUAAACACAGACUUUCUAAGUCAGAAGCCGCCAUGCAGGAGGCCCAACGAACAGUGGCCAGUCAGGACAAGAAUCUCCUAGCCGAUGCCAAGGAAACAGGUCAGUUCCACAAAGACAUAUACUUGCUUUCCUUUGAAAUUUAUAUUCUUUAUUGCUUCCUAAUGACUCAUGCACAUGUUAAGAAAAGCAAAUAAUGGGAAGAUGAUGAUUUCCUGUUUUAAUCCUCUGGGAGGGAAUGUUUGGAUACAAAUGUAGUGGUGAAAAGUAAGAAACCUGGGAUGAAACAUCUAAGAAAUCUGUGAUGUGUUUGCAUUUUCUUCCAUAUAAAUAGCAGGGAAAUUGUUAUAUCUUACCUAGGUAGUUGAAGAGAGAGGGGAUCUCACUUGGAGAAAAGAAAUUUGUCUUGCAUCUUUUGACACUUAGGCAAUUACAUGAGAAUAUCUCUUAACUACUGAACAGUUUGUAGCCAGGAAAGCCCCUGUUCUUUAUCUGCUCUAUUUUAUGUAGUCCUCUGGAUCAUUUAUUUUUAUUGUGUGGAGAAACAGCAAUUCCUUGCUCUCUAUCUCUCUCUCCUAUUUUUUUUUCCCUGCAGGUCUACCAUACCCCGGCCAGUAGGCAUCACUUCCCCGUCACAAUCAGGUAGAUAGCAGAUUGUUACUUCCCCAGACAGGUGAGGUAAAUAAACCUAUUUUCCAAGUCCAUUUUCAAGUUGAAUAGCAUUCUAAGUACAGUUAGAUUUCUCCAAGAGAAAGGCAGAUUCAUCUAAAAAGCCACACUUAGGAUUCAUACAUUUGAUAUGUAAGUGAAAAAGAAAAGGAUAUUGAGAGAUAUAUCUCACAUAGGCACACAGCUAGGACUAUUUCAUAUAAAGUCCACAAACCAGACAAGAAAGCAAAGGACAGGAGCAUACAUGAUUGCAACCUCUCCAUAGUUGCUUUUCUUUCAGUUACUUCACGACCCAGUUCCCAGCACAGUGACCAGGUGGUCAGUCGAUCUUCUUCCUUGGAAUCCAUUCCAUACAGAGUGUCUCACUUUGGUUGCUUUGGUCAACAGGGGAACAGAGGCCUGCAGGGAAGAAUUACUCCCAGGGAAUCUUAUACUGGUCAGAGUGAUGGUAGGUCAGCACCAGAAACUCCUGUGGCUUUCCAGCUACCAGUCCUGCAGCUGCAGGUCACCCCCCAGACACCUCAAUUACAUCAAAUUAGGUAGGUAACUUGCACAGUAUUUAUAUACUUCUCCUUACCAAGACUAAGAAUGCCAAAGAUAUAUCACUAGAGAAGGGAAGCUUUCCAGUGUACCUGGAAAAUUUGCAGAAAAUCCUACAUGCUAGAGGGGCAGGGACAGUCAAGACUUUGCCCCACUCCCUGUGACCUAUUGAAUAAAUUGCAAUUUUGGUAGAGUAUAAAAGAAUAGUAACACACUUCCCCUGAAAAUUAUGCCUAGUGACUUGCAUUAGGCGAGUUUUGUUGUUUGUUGCUGUACACAACAUCUCUGUAUUUCUCUCCUUUAUUGCAGGUUGCCCAACAACGGAGGUAGAUGUGAUUAGUCAGGAAAAGUGAAGCAUGGAUCUUUUCUCUGCUCCUGGACUGACUUUUCUCCUAUCCCUCCAUCUAUCCUGAAUAAGUUGCCAGUGGGAUACAUUAUAGUUGUAGCUAAUCUUCAGGAUAUUCCCAGGAUGUUAUAAAAAGAUCCCUUAAUCCUUGUUGCCUUCAAAGUGCAUUGUAAAUUACUCAAAGAUUCCUUUACUUUUUGGAUAUUUGGGAAAAGAAGCACAACUGACAGACAUAUUGGUGCUGCGGAAAGAUGGCUAUUUUUCCUUUCACAGGUCAUAUGUAAAUGUAAUUAUCUCAUGCAAUUUACAUGCAGGAUAUAGAAACAGGCCCCAAAUCAAGCAAGGUGAACCAAGUAUAUCUUAUUCUUGUUUCAUUUAUUUCAGGGUAUCAUUUCUCAUGGCCAGGAGCAAGCCCUCAGCAAUAGAUUCAAUUCUUCCUUUCUCUAUCUUGUCCUGUCCUUACAAUGUUUUAUCCACAUACCUGUAACCUUCUUUAUGCCUACUAUUAAAUGAUUUUCACUUC